rnacentral:rRNA from 1 species
CACGUAGGGGGCAAGCGUUGUCCGGAUUUAUUGGGCGUAAAGAGCUCGUAGGCGGUUCGGUAAGUUGGGUGUGAAACCUCCAGGCUCAACCUGGAGACGCCACCCGAUACUGCUGUGACUAGAGUCCGGUAGGGGAGCGUGGAAUUCCUGGUGUAGCGGUGAAAUGCGCAGAGUAUCAGGAGGAACACCAGCGGCGAAGGCGGCGCUCUGGGCCGGAACUGACGCUGAGGAGCGAAAGCAUGGGGAGCGAACAGG